UACGUAGGGAGCAAGCGUUGUCCGGAAUCAUUGGGCGUAAAGAGCGUGUAGGCGGCCCGGUAAGUCGGUUGUGAAAGUCAAGGGCUCAACCCUUGAAUGCCGACCGAUACUGUCGGGCUAGAGUCCGGAAGAGGCGAGUGGAAUUCCUGGUGUAGCGGUGAAAUGCGCAGAUAUCAGGAGGAACACCGGUGGCGAAGGCGGGUCUCUGGGCCGAUACUGACGCUGAGGAGCGAAAGCGUGGGGAGCAAACAGG
rnacentral:rRNA from 1 species